rnacentral:ncRNA from 2 species
AAAAUAUUAACGUCUACCCCCUAUAUAAUUCCGGGAAUAUGGCCCGGAAGUCUCUACCGGGUGGCCGUAAACCACCGCAGGCUAUAGGGGAAAGUUUCUUUUCC